UACCGCAGGAAGCGCAAGUAAAGCAGGCCACGUGGUAGACCAGGUCCCGUGCUCUCAUCACCAGCUCCGAAGAAAAGAUCCCAGCACGGCACCGGGAACAUCUCGAUACCGCGAACAAUCUGUAAAGAUUAAUUAAACAUUUUGUAGGGGGAUCAUUUCUACAUCUAAAGCAAUGAAUUGACGAACGAAGGAAGAAGAUGUCAGUUGUCGAGAGGAAAAUGUAUUUAUCGUACAAUGGUUAAUAUUUCAUACGUUUGGAAAGAUAUACGAGAUCAUAGUUUAGCCUAUCUGCAUUGUGCUCGUCCCUGUUAUGCAGUCGUGCGUUAAACGUCGUCGUUCGAUAAUAUCGCGAAUGGUCUGCGACACCUCGAUGAUUACUGCAUUCGAAUAGAAACAUAAAUUCAAUUAUAAAUAAUGAUAAAUGUAACGGUUGUGUAAUAAUAUCGAUUGUUUAUUAAAAAUAUCGAUCCAAUAAAAUAUAACGAUCGUAUUUUAACUUUGUACGAUGAAAGAACAAAAUUUCAUCCGAUUGAAAUUAAUUUCUUCGUAAGUGUAGAAAAUUUAAUGAGUUUUUACAAAAGUACCAUGUUAGUCACGUACACGUCGAAAGAGUAGUUACGAAACCGUGCAUCGAGUUGGCUCGAUUUUACAAAUCGUAUUCUCACGUAUUCGUCAUGCGAGCGACCUCCAGCAUUUGAAACGGCACACCAAAAUUGGCACACAAGGAACCUGUACCUAAACGCGUAUGUUCUCGUAAAUAGAAAAAGGCUAGACCUAGAUAGGAAAAGAGCCGAUUCUUGGCAAUGCCCAUAUCACGUAGCAACGAUCGAAACGUAAGAAGGCACGCGUUAUAAUAGUUUCCGAAGCGCGAACAACGGAAAGAGAACGAACGAGAGGAAAAGAAAGAAAGAAAGAGAAAGAGAGACGAAGAAGAAAUAGCAAAGAGGAAGAGGGUGAGAGAGAGGGAGGGAGAGAAGGAGGGAGAGAGAGACAAAAGGGGUGGCCUGGAUCUGGAUCGUUGCAUAUUGCAUGGGAGGCCGUUCUGUUCUUCCCUAACGAAGCAGAAACUACCGGAGAGAUACCGGACGUUCUUCUUCCUCCCUUGCGUGGAAUUCUGGAUAUAUUAUCGCUAAAUGUUGCCGUCCCUAGCGAAACAAGUGCGUUCGCCGGCGAGAGGCAUCCGGCAGUGACCGCAACGAAGACAACCGCAGUGCCAGGC
rnacentral:lncRNA from 1 species